GACGCACGCUGGCGGCGUGCCUAAUACAUGCAAGUCGAACGCAGUGGGGACGGGUGAGUAACCCGUGGGUAACCUCCCAUCAGAGGGGAUAACACUUGGAAACAGGUGCUAAACCGAUACUGAUGGAUGGACCCGCGGUGCAUUAGCUAGUUGGUGAGGUAACGGCUCACCAAGGCCACGAUGCAUAGCCGACCUGAGAGGGUGAUGGGCCACACUGGGACUGAGACAAGGCCCAAACUCCUACGGGAGUCAGCAGGAGGGAAUCUGCGGCAGUGGACGAAAGUCAGACCGAGGGACGCCGCGUGAGUGAAGAAGGUUUUCGGAUCGUAUAACUCUGUUGUUAGAGAAGCGGUAUCUAACCAGAAAGCCACGGCUAACUACGUGCCAGCAGCCGCGGUAAUAC
rnacentral:rRNA from 1 species